rnacentral:rRNA from 1 species
GGGCCCGCACAAGCGGAGGAACAUGUGGUUUAAUUCGAUGAUACGCGAGGAACCUUACCCGGGCUUGAAAGUUAGCGACGGACAUAGAAAUAUGUCUUCCCUUCGGGGCGCGAAACUAGGUGCUGCAUGGUUGUCGUCAGCUCGUGCCGUGAGGUGUCGGGUUAAGUCCCAUAACGAGCGCAACCCCUACCGUUAGUUGCCAUCAGGUCAAGCUGGGCACUCUAGCGGGACUGCCGGUGUAAGCCGAGAGGAAGGUGGGGAUGACGUCAAAUCAGCACGGCCCUUACGUCCGGGGCGACACACGUGUUACAAUGGUCGGUACAGAGGGCAGCUACCUGGUGACAGGAUGCGAAUCUCGAAAGCCGAUCUCAGUUCGGAUUGGAGGCUGAAACUCGCCUCCAUGAAGUUGGAUUCGCUAGUAAUCGCGCAUCAGCCAUGGCGCGGUGAAUACG